GCGGGAAUUCGAUUAGAGUUUGAUCAUGGCUCAGAUUGAACGCUGGCGGCAGGCCUAACACAUGCAAGUCGAGCGGUAGAGAGGUGCUUGCACCUCUUGAGAGGGCGGACGGGUGAGUAAUGCCUAGGAAUCUGCCUGGUAGUGGGGGAUAACGCUCGGAAACGGACGCUAAUACCGCAUACGUCCUACGGGAGAAAGCAGGGGACCUUCGGGCCUUGCGCUAUCAGAUGAGCCUAGGUCGGAUUAGCUAGUUGGUGAGGUAAUGGCUCACCAAGGCGACGAUCCGUAACUGGUCUGAGAGGAUGAUCAGUCACACUGGAACUGAGACACGGUCCAGACUCCUACGGGAGGCAGCAGUGGGGAAUAUUGGACAAUGGGCGAAAGCCUGAUCCAGCCAUGCCGCGUGUGUGAAGAAGGUCUUCGGAUUGUAAAGCACUUUAAGUUGGGAGGAAGGGCCAUUACCUAAUACGUGAUGGUUUUGACGUUACCGACAGAAUAAGCACCGGCUAACUCUGUGCCAGCAGCCGCGGUAAUACGAAUCACUAGUGAAUUCGCGGCCGCCUGCAGGUCGACCAUAUGGGAGAGCUCCCCA
rnacentral:rRNA from 1 species